rnacentral:rRNA from 1 species
UGGGGAAUUUUGGACAAUGGGCGCAAGCCUGAUCCAGCAAUGCCGCGUGCAGGAUGAAGGCCUUCGGGUUGUAAACUGCUUUUGUACGAAACGAAAAGCCCUGGGUUAAUACCCUGGGGGUCAUGACGGUACCGUAAGAAUAAGCACCGGCUAACUACGUGCCAGCAGCCGCGGUAAUACGUAGGGUGCGAGCGUUAAUCGGAAUUACUGGGCGUAAAGCGUGCGCAGGCGGUUUUGUAAGACAGAGGUGAAAUCCCCCGGGCUCAACCUGGGAACUGCCUUUGUGACUGCAAGGCUAGAGUACGGCAGAGGGGGGAUGGAAUUCCGCGUGUAGCAGUGAAAUGCGUAGAUAUGCGGAGGAACACCGAUGGCGAAGGCAAUCCCCUGGCCUGUACUGACGCUCAUGCACGAAAGCGUGGGGAGCAAACAGGAUUAGAUACCCCUGGUAGUCCACGCCCCUAAAGCGAUGUCAACUGGUUGUUGGGUCUUAACUGACUCAGUAAACGAAGCUAACGCGUAAGUUGACCGCCUGGGGAGUACGGCCGCAAGGUUGAAACUCAAAUGAAUUGACGGGGGCUCAUAGCUGUUU